rnacentral:rRNA from 1 species
AACGAACGCUGGCGGCAGGCUUAACACAUGCAAGUCGAGCGCCCCGCCAGGGGCGCGGCAGACGGGUGAGUACCGCGUGGGAACGUACCUUUUGGUUCGGAACAACUCCGGGAAACUGGAGCUAAUACCGGAUAAGCCCUAACGGGGAAAGAUUUAUCGCCGAAAGAUCGGCCCGCGUCUGAUUAGCUAGUUGGUGAGGUAACGGCUCACCAAGGCGACGAUCAGUAGCUGGUCUGAGAGGAUGAUCAGCCACACUGGGACUGAGACACGGCCCAGACUCCUACGGGAGGCAGCAGUGGGGAAUAUUGGACAAUGGGCGCAAGCCUGAUCCAGCCAUGCCGCGUGAGUGAUGAAGGCCUUAGGGUUGUAAAGCUCUUUUGUCCGGGAAGAUAAUGACUGUACCGGAAGAAUAAGCCCCGGCUAACUUCGUG